rnacentral:rRNA from 1 species
UACAGGGGGGGCAAGCGUUGUUCGGAAUUACUGGGCGUAAAGGGUUCGUAGGUGGCCAAUUAAGUCAGACGUGAAAUCCCUCAGCUUAACUGGGGAACUGCGUCUGAUACUGGAUGGCUUGAAUCCGGGAGAGGGAUGCAGAAUUCCAGGUGUAGCGGUGAAAUGCGUAGAUAUCUGGAGGAAUACCGGUGGCGAAGGCGGCAUCCUGGACCGGCAUUGACGCUGAGGAGCGAAAGCCAGGGGAGCAAACGGG